rnacentral:lncRNA from 1 species
GUGUUCCAGAUGAUUGUUGACGGUCACAGGAGGGAGGAGAGGAGGAGCAAGGAGGUGGGCUGCCAGUGGGAGAGCCCCGAGGAGGACAGGAAGGAGGUGGGCUGUCAGAGCCAGGCGGUGGAGAGGAGGGACGCCGCCGUCCAGGUGGAUCUGCUGACUCAGCAGCUGAGCUGGAGACACUCAGGUGUUUCCUGGCACUGCGGCGCCAUCCGGGUGGAUGAACCAGCAGGGGGCAUUCUGCUGCAGCUCUGCAGGGGUCACACGUCACGCUGUGUUCCCUGCGCCACCGACCGCCCUGCCCUGCUACCCAGUGUGCCUCUGUUCUCCGAGCACGAGUCGUCUCCUUCAACCAGCAUGCCUCCCCUGACUCCUGUGGACGUCUCGGCUGCUCCUCCUGGACUCAUCGCUCCCCUGAGCCCGGGGCUGGCCGAAGACGAGGAGCAGGAAGAGGAGCAGGAGGUGCACGUACCUGAGGAGGAGCGACUCUGCUCUGAGAACAUGGCAUUUAAAGAAAAGAAGAAGAUGGAGGGGGGGAGGUGGCCUGAUGGAGGUGAAAGACAAAAGUCAUCACUGGCUGACAAAUCGACCAAUCACAUCGCAGGAAAACCACCCGGGAAGAGGAGGAGACUAAAGAUGAAACUUCUGGAGAAGGAUGAGGAGUCCCACACCAGCAAGCGAGGAGAGAAACAAACAACCCGGAUCCAAGAGAGGAAGAAGAACGAGGGGCAGGAGGAGGAGGAGAGGGGAGGGGAGGAGACCAUGAAAGAAGGGGGAAGAGUCAAAUCUGUCAUAAUGAAGACUGAGGAGGCGGAGUGUCAGAGACCGAGGAGGAGGAUGGUCGGUCCGACAGUCAGAUACCUGCUGGAGUCUGAGCAGCAGUCACAUGGGCCAACAGAGGCCAAUCACAGCAGAGCAAGCAGAGACGUGGGGAGGAGGAAGACGGGGAGGCCGAAGAAGGAGCAGAAGGAGCUGGAUGACAGCAGCACAAUGGAGUCCUCAGCAGACGGAGGAGCAGAGAGAUGGUGGAAGCUCUGCCAGGUGUGUGGUCUGAACUUCACCAGCCAGCCGUCUCUGGAUCUCCAUCUGUCCGUCCACAGACCGGCUUUGAGCUGCGCACAAGCUGCUGCUGACCAACAGCAAGAACAAACCAAUGACGCGAAGGGUGAUGCAGAGGAGAGGGAGGAGCCUCAGAGGCCAAGGAGGACAGUCUGCCAACCAAUCAGGUACCUACUGGAGUCAUCACAUGGUUCUGUAACAGCCAAUCAGACCAAUCGGGAGGCAGCUACCAAACCCACAAGAAGGAGAGGAAGAUCAAAAGAUGCUGUUGGGGGCAGGGCUUCAGAGGUGAUUGACAGGCCUGAGACUAAUGCUAAAGACACAGGUCACAUGGUCACAACAGGAGGAAGAGAGGAAGGAGAGGAGGAGCCUUACAGGCCAAAGAGGACGUUGGUUGGCCUCCUGGAGUCAGAGGAAACAUCAGGUGGUCUCAGAAUCUCCAAUCAGGACGCAGAAAACAAACCCACACAGUACAGGGGAAGAUCAAAAAAUGUUUUUGACUUCAAUGAGGCUGGGGGCGGGGCUUCAAAGAUGACUGACUGUUCUGAUACUGAAGAUAAAGAAAUGGGUCACACGGUCUCAACGGGAGGAAGACAGGAAGAGGAGGAGCCUCAGAGACCAGGAAAGACGGCGUCUGUCUUCCACCCGUCUGUCCACAGACCAAAGCGACUGUUCGGCUGUCACCUCUGCAACAGGAAGUUCAGCCGUGCCAGCAGACUGUUCCGGCACCAAUGUAAUCAGCACCACAGCAAUAUAGGUGGUCUCUGCGGCAAUGGAUGUGGAUCGGCCCUGAGCAACGCCCGAGCUCCUAAAAACAAACAGGAAAAACAGACCACCCAGGAUGACAAGGAGGAGCCUCAGAGGCCCAGGAAGCCCCUCUUCACAGCACCCACCGGGGCUCCUUAUUGGUCAAGAGACAUAAAUCGUGUGAGAAAAAGUCCCAGCUGGUUGGUCGACUACUGGACCCUGAACAAGAGGAGGAAUGGAAGGAGGGGGACGAAGAGGAGCAGAGUGGAGGAGGACGACGAGGAAAGGGAGGCGCAACAAGUCUGUGUGGAGAAGGAGGAGGGGCCUCAGAGGCCAAGGAGGACGACUGUUGGCCCACCAAUCAGGUACCUGCUGGAGUCAGAGGUGACAACAAGGGGUUCUGGAAAAGCCAAUCAGACCAAUCAGAAGGCAGCUAACAAACACACAAGGAGAGGAAGAGCAAAAGACUCUGUUGGUGGUGGGGCUUCAAAGAUGACUGACUCUUCUGACAUUGAAGAUAAAGACACAGGUCACAUGGUCUCAAUGGGAGGAACACAGGAAGAGGAGCCUCAGAGACCAGGAACGACAGUCAGUCCACCAGUCAGGUACCUGCUGGAGUCGGAGGUAAUGUCACAUGAUUCUGGAACAGCCAAUCAGAAUGAUCAGGAGGCAGUUAUCAAACUCACAAGAAGGAGAGGAAGAUCAGAUGCUGUUGUCCUCUGUGAGGCUGGGGGCGGGGCUUCAGAGAUGAUUGACAGGCUUGACGCUAAAGAUAAAGACAGAAGUCACGUGGUUGUAAAGGGCAGAAGAAAGGAAGACGAGAAGAUGGAGGAGCCUCAGAGGCCGAGGAGGACGAUGGUCGGCCCACCAAUCAGGUACCUGCUGGAGUCAGAAGAGCUGUCAUGUGGUCAAAGAACAGCUAAUCAGGACACAGAAAACAAACCCACACACAGCAGACGGAGCCCAAAAAAGGCGUCUGUCCUCCACAGACCGAAGCGAGUGUUCGGCUGUCACAUCUGCAACAGAAAGUUCAGCCGUGCCAGCAGACUGUUCCUGCAUCAUUGCGAUCAGCACCGCAGCAUCUUAGACAGUCCCCACGGCAACAGAGUUGGCAUGGCCAUGAGCAGUGCUCGAGCUUCUGAUAGCAAACUGAAAGAAGGAACCCAGGGUAACGACGAGAAUGGGGAGGAGUCUCAGCGGCAGCGGAGGACUAGAGUUGGCCCACCAAUCAGAUACCUGCUGGAGUCAGAGGAGCCGUCACGUGGUCUUAGAGCAGCCAAUCAGAGUGCAGCAACCAAACCCACACAAAGGAAAGGAAGAAUGAAGGCUGGUGGCCUCACUAAGGCUGGGGGCGGGACUUCACAGAUAAUUGAUAGGUUUGAGGCUGCUGUUGCCACAGAGAGACAGACAGGUGUGCACAGACAGACUUACCUGGUUCACAGAGACCUGCAGGAUGGUCAGGUGACUAUCUCCCCCUGCUCUGUCACAAUGCAGCGCCUCCUCUGA